GGGCCGGUGAUCGGCAUCGACCUGGGCACGACCUACUCGUGCGUGGCCGUGUACCGGAACGGCCGGGUGGAGAUCAUCGCCAACGACCAGGGCAACCGCAUCACCCCCUCCUGGGUCGCCUUCACCCACUCCGGCGAGCGCCUCAUCGGCGAGGCCGCCAAGAACCAGGCCGCCGUCAACCCGCUCCGCACCGUCUACGACGCCAAGCGACUCAUCGGCCGUAACUUUGUCGACGCCGAGGUGCAGCGGGACAUGAAGCUGCUGCCGUUCAAGGUGGUGGACAAGAACGGGAAGCCGCACGUCGAGGUGGAGGUGAAGGCCGACGACGUGCGGACGCUCAGCCCGGAGGAGGUGAGCGCGACGGUGCUCACCAGGAUGAAGGAGACGGCCGAGGCGUAUCUCGGCGAGAAGGUCCGGGACGCCAUGAUCACCAUCCCGGCCUACUUCAACGACGCGCAGCGCCAGGCCACCAAGGACGCCGGCGCCAUCGCCGGCCUCAACGUCGUCCGCCUCAUCAACGAGCCCACCGCCGCCGCCAUCGCCUAUGGGCUGGACAAGAUGGCCGACGGCAAGGAGCGGAACGUGCUCGUGUUCGACCUCGGCGGCGGCACCUUCAACGUCAGCGUGCUCGCGCUCGACGGCGGUGUCUUCGAGGUCCUCGCCACCAACGGCGACACCCAUCUUGGAGGCGAGGACUUCGACCAGCGCGUCAUGGACCACUUCAUCCGGCUCGUCAAGCGGAAGCACGGCGUCGACAUCUCCGGCGACGCGCGCGCGCUCGGCAAGCUCCGCCGCGAGUGCGAGCGCGCCAAGCGGGCGCUCAGCACCCAGCUCCAGGUCCGCGUUGAGGUAGAGUCGCUGGCCGACGGCGUCGACCUUUCGGAGCCGCUCACCCGGGCCCGCUUCGAGGAGCUCAACGCCGACCUCUUCCGCAAGGUCAUGGCGCCCGUGAAGAAGGCCAUGGCGGACGCCGGGCUGGCCAAGGGCGACGUCGACGAGGUCGUUCUGGUCGGUGGCAGCACGAGGAUUCCCAAGGUGCAGCAGCUCCUCCGCGACUACUUCGGCGGCAAGGAGCCCCACAAGGGCGUCAACCCCGACGAGGCCGUGGCCUACGGCGCGGCGGUGCAGGGCGGCAUCGUGCGCGGCGACGCCAAGGAGGUUGUGGUGCUGGACGUGACGCCGCUGACGCUGGGCAUCGAGACGGCCGGCGGCGUGAUGGCGAGCGUGAUCCCCCGGAACACGCCGAUCCCGACCAAGAGGGCCAAGAUGUUCACCACGUACGAGGACAGGCAGACAGUGACCAUCACGGUGUUCGAGGGCGAACGGAGCAUGACCAAGGACAACCGGCUGCUGGGCAAGUUCGACCUCACCGGGAUUGCGCCGGCGCCGAGGGGCACGCCGCAGAUCGAGGUGACCCUGGAGGUGGACGUGAACGGCAUCCUGCACGUGGGGGCGGCGGACAAGGGCACCGGCCAGUCGGAGAAGAUCGAGAUCAGCAACGCUGGCCGUAGCAUCACGCCGGAGGAGAUCGAGCGGAUGGUGCAGGAGGCCGAGGAGUUCGCCGCGGAGGACAGGAAGGUGAGGGACAAGGUGGACGCGCGGAACAAGCUGGAGGCCUACGUUUACAGCGCCCGGACGACGGCCGACGGCGAGCUGGGGGCCAAGAUGGACGGCGGCGACCGGGAAAGGGUCAAGGAGGCGACGAGGGAGGCUAGCGAGUGGCUCGAGGCCAACCCGAACGCCGACAAGGACGACUACACGGAGAAGCUCAAGGAGCUGGAGGAUGUCUGCAGCCCCGCCUUCGCCGCCGCCUACGGGAACACUGGCGGUGGCCAUGAUGACCCCGCCGAGGACCAUGACCACGACGAGCUCUAA
rnacentral:rRNA from 1 species